rnacentral:rRNA from 1 species
ACGGGAGGCAGCAGUGGGGAAUAUUGGACAAUGGGGGAAACCCUGAUCCAGCGACGCCGCGUGAGUGAAGAAGUAUUUCGGUAUGUAAAGCUCUAUCAGCAGGGAAGAUGAUGACGGUACCUGACUAAGAAGCCCCGGCUAACUACGUGCCAGCAGCCGCGGUAAUACGUAGGGGGCAAGCGUUGUUCGGAAUCACUGGGCGUAAAGGGAGCGCAGGCGGAGAUGCAAGCGGACUGUACAAUACCGGGGCCCAACCCCGGACCUGCAGUCCGGACUGCACCUCUUGGAUAGUUCAGGGGCAAGCGGAAUCCCUGGUGUAGCGGUGGAAUGCGUAGAGAUCAGGAAGAACACCGAUGGCGAAGGCAGCUUGCUGGGGACUAAUCGACGCUCAUGCUCGAAAGUGCGGGUAGCAAACAGGAUUAGAUACCCUGGUA